GGGUUGUGAGGUUAAGCGACUAAGCGUACACGGUGGAUGCCUAGGCAAUCAGAGGCGAUGAAGGACGUGCUAAUCUGCGAUAAGCGUCGGUAAGGUGAUAUGAACCGUUAUACCCGACGAUUUCCGAAUGGGGAAACCCAGUGCAAUUCGUUGCACUAUCGUUUGAUGAAUACAUAGUCAAACGAAGCGAACCGGGGGAACUGAAACAUCUCAGUACCCCGAGGAAAAGAAAUCAACCGAGAUUCCCCUAGUAGCGGCGAGCGAACGGGGAGCAGCCCAGAGUCUUAAUCAGCAUUAGUAUCAGGAGAACGGUCUGGAAAGUCCGGCAGUAAAGGGUGAUAGCCCCGUAUCUGAAGAUAUUAGUGUUGUGAACUCGACGAGUAGGGCGGGACACGUGUUAUCCUGUCUGAAUAUGGGGGGACCAUCCUCCAAGGCUAAAUACUCCUGAUUGACCGAUAGUGAACCAGUACCGUGAGGGAAAGGCGAAAAGAACCCCGGCGAGGGGAGUGAAAUAGAACCUGAAACCGUGUACGUACAAGCAGUGGGAGCCUUGAUUUAUCAGGGUGACUGCGUACCUUUUGUAUAAUGGGUCAGCGACUUAUAUUCUGUAGCA
rnacentral:rRNA from 1 species